rnacentral:tRNA from 1 species
GCGGAUAUAGUUUAAUGGUAAAAUUCGAGCUUCCCAAGCUUGUGCUGCGGGUUCGAUUCCCGUUAUCCGCU